GAUGAACGCUGGCGGCGUGCCUAAUACAUGCAAGUCGAACGAACAGACCAGGAGCUUGCUCCUCUGACGUUAGCGGCGGUCGGGUGAGUAACACGUGGUUAACCUACCUAUAAGACUGGGAUAACUUCGGGAAACCGUAGCUUAUACCGGAUGAUAUAUUGAACCGCAUGGUUCAAUAGUUAAAGACGGUUUUGCUGUGACUUAUAGAUUGAUCCGCGCCGCAUUAGCUAGUUGGUAAGGUAACGGCUUAACAAGGCAACGAUGCGUAGCCGACCUGAGAGGGUGAUCGGCAACGCUGGAACGGAGACACGGUCCAGAAUACUGCGAGAGGGAGCAGGAGCGAAUCUUUCGGGAAGGGAGAAAUGGUGAAGGAGCAACGACGCGUGAGUGACGGAUGUAGCCAGAUCGUGAAACUCUGUUAUUAGUUAAGAACAAAUAUGUAAGUAACUAGGGACGACUAGAAGAUAACUGAUCAGAAAGCCACGGCUAAAUACGUG
rnacentral:rRNA from 1 species